GCGGGGGUAGCUCAGUCCGGUUAGAGCGUCGGCACAGUGCGGAGCGAACCCACAGGGUAGCGAAGCAAGCCGAAGGACGAUGGUUCAAAUCCAUCCCCCCGUU
rnacentral:tRNA from 1 species